UAAUGUCUGGGAAACUGCCUGAUGGAGGGGGAUAACUACUGGAAACGGUAGCUAAUACCGCAUAAUGUCGCAAGACCAAAAGGGGGGACCUUCGGGCCUCAUGCCAUCAGAUGUGCCCAGAUGGGAUUAGCUAGUAGGUGGGGUAACGGCUCACCUAGGCGACGAUCCCUAGCUGGUCUGAGAGGAUGACCAGCCACACUGGAACUGAGACACGGUCCAG
rnacentral:rRNA from 1 species